rnacentral:rRNA from 1 species
CACGUAGGCGGACUGGAAAGUUGGAGGUGAAAUCCCAGGGCUCAACCUUGGAACUGCCUUCAAAACUAUCAGUCUGGAGUUCGAGAGAGGUGAGUGGAAUUCCGAGUGUAGAGGUGAAAUUCGUAGAUAUUCGGAGGAACACCAGUGGCGAAGGCGGCUCACUGGCUCGAUACUGACGCUGAGGUGCGAAAGUGUGGGGAGCAAC